AGCUGCUCAACAGCCUGUAGGGUAUUUCAGUCAUAAAUUAGAUAUUAUAGAUUCAGAGUAAUUCAUUAAAAGGGUAAGCCCUAAACAAUAUAGUUAGAACACUUUCUUUCUCUUUCAAGAGGCAAAAAGCAGCCAUUUGGGUUCUUUGCUUAUUGGUUUGAUUUUUCUGCUUGGCAAUGCAGUAGGAGUAAAUUAUAGCUUUUUUCUCUAGGGACAUGUUCGCUAAGGAUCACAGAUCCACACUGGAAAAGCUCCUGAUCUUAAUUGUCCUUCUACAUCUGAGAUGAUUAAGAUUUAGUUCUUGUGCCAUACUUAAAGGCACUCUUCUAUCCCUUCUCCACUGCCCUUCUCCUGAGAAAUAGCUGAUUCAAGUUACUUCCCUUUUCUAUGGCUGCUGGAUUUCAAGACAAAGCUUCCAGAAUGACUCAAAACUACAUGGCUACCAAGAUGACAAUGCCUGGCACCUAUAGAGGGCCUUUAGAUAGACCCUCUGAAGAGUAACUCUAACUGCUGAUGACAACAAUGACCCUCUUCAGCUGGAAGUAGCCAGACGUCUUUUUGCCCUUUGCCCCCUCACAGCAGUUAGGGCUACUUCUUCAGAGGGGCGAUUAUUGCAGAUAAGUUAAUUGAAUAUCUUGUGUGCAGUUAACAGGACCAGCCCUCCAGAAGCUAACACAGCAAGGAGCCAGCCAGAAUUGUAAAAGGAGAAAAACCACACACCCUAGUGCUUCCCCUGGGGAUAAAUAGCAGUGAUUGAUAUUCUAAAUAUGUAUCAAUCACCUGGGUGGGGUGUCAAGGUCUUAACCCAGCCUCUCCAGGAAAUAUCCCUGACUUCCAUUCUUACUGAAAAUCCUUGUAUGCUUCCUAUGUGACUUGCUUCCCCAUUUGACCCACAUAUAAUCAAUAUUAUCUGGGUGACUGUACUUGUAAUCUUAUUGGUUGGACAUGGUUUUGUCCCACCUCAUGUCCAGCUUGUAAACUUCCAUUGGGUCUUAUAGUUUUGUCCCAGUUUGUACCCGCCUCACCACAUGGCUUUGCUGUAUAAACCAUCUUUGAAAAGUAGGAUGAGCGGCCAACCCACUUUCUGGGCCCCCUUCUGACAGACAGGAGCUCCUUAGACAGGAGCUUUCUUUCUCUCAAUAAAUUUUUCCUACUCUUAAAAAAAAAUAAAGUCAACUGUGCCUACAACUUGGCCUAAUUUGGUCAGGAUUUAAAGUCAAAGCUGAAACACUUCAUUGGUCAAUAUCAUGACCUUAAAGGGGUCAGGGACCAGAGAUAUCUCUACACUUCAGUCUCCAUAGUAGGAAGUAGAAUUUGCUCAACACUUAGACCAGAGGAUUUCUUCACAAACAGAAGGGGUGGUAGGAAUUCAGACAGCAAAAGUCAAAUUACCAUAACAAAAAACCUCAAGAAAUAAAUUCAGCCGAAAUAAGUAAUUCUCCUUGUGUAUGGAAAGUGAAUUUAUGAAUUAUCAUUAAUAUGCUCAGUAAAACUUAAGUCUCACUAACUUCUUUGAAAUCAGAUUGUGUGUGACUGAAUUUAUAUCAUUAAAUAUUUCAAAUUUGAAAAAGUAUUUCUGAUUUUAAUGAGUCAAAUAAAGGAGGUCAUACUUCUU
rnacentral:lncRNA from 1 species